UACAGGAUUCCCCUAGUAACUGCGAGUGAAGCGGGAAAAGCUCAAAUUUAAAAUCUGGCGGUCUUUGGCUGUCCGAGUUGUAAUCUAGAGAAGUAAUGCCCGUGCUGGACCGUAUAUAAGUCUCCUGGGAUGGAGCAUCAUAGAGGGUGAGAAUCCCGUCUUUGAUACGGACUACCAGUGCAUUGUGGUAUGCUCUCAACGAGUCGAGUUGUUUGGGAAUGCAGCUCAAAAUGGGUGGUAAAUUCCAUCUAAAGCUAAAUAUUGGCGAGAGACCGAUAGCGAACAAGUACCGUGAGGGAAAGAUGAAAAGAACUUUGGAAAGAGAGUUAAACAGUACGUGAAAUUGCUGAAAGGGAAACGCUUGAAGUCAGUCACGUCUGCUGGGAAUCAGCCUCGCUCCUGCGUGGUGUACUUUCUGGUAUGACGGGUCAGCAUCAGUUUUGACCACUGGAAAAAGGUGUGGGGAAUGUGACAGCUCCGGCUGUGUUAUAGCCUCAUAUUGUAUACAGUGGUUGGGACUGAGGAACGCAGCACGCCGAAAGGCCGGGUCUUUGACCACGUUCGUGCUUAGGAUGCUGGCAUAAUGGCUUUAAGCGACCCGUCUUGAAACACGGACCAAGGAGUCUAACAUGCCUGCGAGUGUUUGGGUGGAAAACUCGAGCGCGCAAUGAAAGUGAAAGUUGAGAUCCCUGUCGUGGGGAGCAUCGACGCCCGGACCAGAACUUUUGGGACGGAUCCGCGGUAGAGCAUGUAUGUUGGGACCCGAAAGAUGGUGAACUAUGCCUGAAUAGGGUGAAGCCAGAGGAAACUCUGGUGGAGGCUCGUAGCGGUUCUGACGUGCAAAUCGAUCGUCAAAUUUGGGUAUAGGGGCCAAAGACUAAUCGAACCAUCUAGUA
rnacentral:rRNA from 1 species